AUGUACUGUCAUGUUGUCUUGUCUCUGUCCUUUCCCUUCACCCUGUCUCCCUCUGCUGGUCGUGUUAGGUUACCUUUUCUCCCCCGCUUUCCCCCAGCGUUGUCUUGUCUCUGUCCUUUCCCUUCACCCUGUCUCCCUCUGCUGGUCGUGUUAGGUUACCUUUUCUCCCCCGCUUUCCCCCAGCUGUCCCUUGUCUCCUCUAACUACCCAUUCACCCCGUUCCCCACCUGUUCCCUUUUUUCCCUCUGAUUAGGUCCCAAUAUCUCUCUCUGUUUCUGCUCCUGUCCUUGUCGGAUUCUUGUUUGUUUGUGUCAUUCAUGCCUGAACCAGACUGUCGUCAUGUUUGCUGUAACCUUGUCCUGUCCUGUCGGAAUCUGCCGGUCCAUCUGAGCCUACCUAUGUUUGGUAAUUAAAGAAGCUCUGUUUAAGUUGAUUCGCUUUUGGGUCCUCAUUCACGCACCGUAACACUCUCGUCUUAGUGUGCCAGAGCGCAGAAUAACUGUUUAAUUUUUGAACACUCAACACCUGUUGAAUAUGUCCGGUGUCAGUAUACGUCCGCAACAAAGUGUAAUGUGUUGUUGUUUUUGUCACACAUGAUUUGCUUUAUCUUGUCCAGGUCUCAGUUGUAAAUGAGAACGUGUUCUCAACUGGCCUACCUGGUUAAAUAAUGGUGAAAUAAAAUAAAAAUAAAAUAAAAAGGUAAUUCAAUUGAUGUCAACAGCACUGUUACAGUCACCAAUGCUCAGGAUAACAUGAAAACUGUCUAACUCUGCUAGGGGGAGUAAAAUGGUCAGAGUGGGGUGUUCUCUCAUUAUGUGUCUGGAAGUAGCUAUCCAACGUUGGCCAGUUAGCUUGGGUGCUAGACUGGCGUUGUGAGGUCAGAGCUUUCGGGAACGACCCUAUUUAUUUGCCAGAGCUUCCAGUGUGCGCUCUAAACUCGAAACGCUCUGAAUUUACAAACGGACAAUCUGACAGCACAGUUGCAGUCACCAACGAUCUGAAUAGCAUACUGUAGCAGCCUAACCAGCUCUGCUAGGGCGAGUAAUGUUCAGUGAGCUGUUCAAUCUCUCUUAGAUGUCUGGAAGUAGCUGGCAAGUUAAUACAAAAACCACGGAUCAACCCUUAAAGAGAUUGGUGGGGUUAAGGCUUAAGAGGGUGAGAACAAUGCCGAAUGGAUGUAGACAAAGAAGGGCUCUACAGUAGGUACCAAAACAUUGACAGACGGUUAUCUCAAAAGUGAGUUUACAAGUUGAUCAACUUUCAAAGCAGAAUUCCCUUUCGGCCGUGAUUGGGAGUCCCAUAGGGCUGCGCACAAUUGGCCCAGCAUCGUCCGAGUUUGGCCGUUGUAGGCCGUCGUUUUAAAUAAAAAUGUGUCCUUAAUUUACUUGCCUAGUUAAUUAAAGGUUAAAUAAAAAUAACAAAUACAAAAAAAAUAUGUAAAAUUGCGUGACUAAGACCUUCUCAACAUAAAAUAAAAUUAAUUACAGAUUUUUUGAUUUAUUCAGACUAUAUUUUAGGGUGACGAAGUAGUGACUGUUGCUGCCAAGGGCGCUUUGCGUUCCUAUUUGUAUUAGUUUUUUUUACGUGUUAUUUCUUACAUUGGUACCCCAGGUAAUCUUAGGUUUUAUUACAUACAGUCGGGAGGAACUACUGGAUAUAAGAGCAACGUUAACUCACCAUCAUUUCGACCAGGAAUACGACUUUCCCGAAGCGGAUCCUGUGU
rnacentral:lncRNA from 13 species